rnacentral:rRNA from 1 species
AGCGAACGCUGGCGGCGUGCCUAACACAUGCAAGUCGAACGUGAAAUGGGGCAACCCAAAGUAAAGUGGCGUACGGGUGAGUAACACGUAGGUAAUCUACCCCGAAAUCUGGAAUAACCGGCCGAAAGGCUGGCUAAUACUGGAUAGAGCGACGGAAUCCGUAAUUGGGUUUUUCGGGAAAGGGAGGGAGCAAUCCCCUUCGUUUCGGGAUGAGCCUGCGUCUCAUUAGCUAGUUGGUGAGGUAAUGGCUCACCAAGGCAUUGAUGAGUAGCUGGUCUGAGAGGAUGAUCAGCCACACUGGAACUGAAACACGGUCCAGACUCCUACGGGAGGCAGCAGUGGGGAAUCUUGCGCAAUGGACGAAAGUCUGACGCAGCCACGCCGCGUGAGUGAAGAAGGCCUUCGGGUCGUAAAGCUCUGUCGGAGGGGACGAACAUUCUCUGGGUUAACAG